GACGAACGCUGGCGGCGUGCUUAACACAUGCAAGUCGAACGGAAAGGCCCUGCUUUUGUGGGGUGCUCGAGUGGCGAACGGGUGAGUAACACGUGAGUAACCUGCCCUUGACUUUGGGAUAACUUCAGGAAACUGGGGCUAAUACCGGAUAGGAGCUCCUGCUGCAUGGUGGGGGUUGGAAAGUUUCGGCGGUUGGGGAUGGACUCGCGGCUUAUCAGCUUGUUGGUGGGGUAGUGGCUUACCAAGGCUUUGACGGGUAGCCGGCCUGAGAGGGUGACCGGCCACAUUGGGACUGAGAUACGGCCCAGACUCCUACGGGAGGCAGCAGUGGGGAAUAUUGCACAAUGGGCGGAAGCCUGAUGCAGCAACGCCGCGUGCGGGAUGACGGCCUUCGGGUUGUAAACCGCUUUCGCCUGUGACGAAGCGUGAGUGACGGUAAUGGGUAAAGAAGCACCGGCUAACUACGUGCCAGCAGCCGCGGUGAUACGUAGGGUGCGAGCGUUGUCCGGAUUUAUUGGGCGUAAAGGGCUCGUAGGUGGUUGAUCGCGUCGGAAGUGUAAUCUUGGGGCUUAACCCUGAGCGUGCUUUCGAUACGGGUUGACUUGAGGAAGGUAGGGGAGAAUGGAAGUCCUGGUGGAGCGGUGGAAUGCGCAGAUAUCAGGAGGAACACCAGUGGCGAAGGCGGUUCUCUGGGCCUUUCCUGACGCUGAGGAGCGAAAGCGUGGGGAGCGAACAGGCUUAGAUACCCUGGUAGUCCACGCUGUAAACGGUGGGUACUAGGUGUGGGGUCCAUUCCACGGGUUCCGUGCCGUAGCUAACGCUUUAAGUACCCCGCCUGGGGAGUACGGCCGCAAGGCUAAAACUCAAAGGAAUUGACGGGGCCCCGCACAAGCGGCGGAGCAUGCGGAUUAAUUCGAUGCAACGCGUAGAACCUUACCUGGGUUUGACAUGGAUCGGGAGUGCUCAGAGAUGGGUGUGCCUCUUUUGGGGUCGGUUCACAGGUGGUGCAUGGCUGUCGUCAGCUCGUGUCGUGAGAUGUUGGGUUAAGUCCCGCAACGAGCGCAACCCUUGUUCACUGUUGCCAGCACGUUAUGGUGGGGACUCAGUGGAGACCGCCGGGGUCAACUCGGAGGAAGGUGGGGAUGACGUCAAGUCAUCAUGCCCCUUAUGUCCAGGGCUUCACGCAUGCUACAAUGGCUGGUACAGAGAGUGGCGAGCCUGUGAGGGUGAGCGAAUCUCGGAAAGCCGGUCUCAGUUCGGAUUGGGGUCUGCAACUCGACCUCAUGAAGUCGGAGUCGCUAGUAAUCGCAGAUCAGCAACGCUGCGGUGAAUACGUUCCCGGGGCU
rnacentral:rRNA from 1 species